CCAGAUCUUACAUCUUGACUGGUUUAAAGAACUCUGAGACUUCUUUUCCCUCCUUCGGCAUCACAGGCAGGACCAGCACCAUCUACCAUCUCCCAGCACUCAGACGCUUCAGCUUUUGCCCUGCUUCCAUCUGCUACCUCCCUUCUGAGUGAGCAUCCUCCUACACUGGUUCUCCCUGAGUUGAUGGGAAAGGAAACAGUAGACCCACAGUCCUCCCCUUGAAGGCACCAUCCUCCUUUGUGCUGAAUACUUCUCAGCAUGCUGUUCUCGGAUACAGCAAACCUGCUGGAACCUGAACAAUUUAAGCUACAGCCAGGGAGCAAGGUGGAUAGACAGAGGGUCUUUCUAUUAAAAAUAACUGCUGCAUAUA